UACAGGGGGUGCAAACGUUGCUCGGAAUCAUUGGGCGUAAAGCGCACGUAGGCGGUUCGUUAUGUCGGAUGUGAAAGCCCUUGGCUUAACCGAGGAAGUGCAUCCGAAACUGGCGAGCUAGAGUACGAAAGAGGAUCGCGGAAUUCCCGGUGUAGAGGUGAAAUUCGUAGAUAUUCGGAAGAACACCAGUGGCGAAGGCGACUGACUGGACAAGUAUUGACGCUGAGGUGCGAAAGCGUGGGGAGCAAACAGG
rnacentral:rRNA from 1 species